rnacentral:rRNA from 1 species
GAUGAACGCUGGCGGCGUGCUUAACACAUGCAAGUCGAACGGAAAGGCCCAAGCUUGCUUGGGGACUCGAGUGGCGAACGGGUGAGUAACACGUGGGUGAUCUGCCCUGCACUUCGGGAUAAGCCUGGGAAACUGGGUCUAAUACCGGAUAGGACCACCUCUUGGAUGGUGUGGUGGAAAGGUUUUUCGGUGUGGGAUGAGCUCGCGGCCUAUCAGCUUGUUGGUGGGGUAAUGGCCUACCAAGGCGUCGACGGGGAGCCGGCCUGAGAGGGUGUACGGCCACAUUGGGUCUGAGAUACGGCCCAGACUCCUAAGGGAGGCAGCAGUGGGGAAUAUUGCACAAGGGGCGCCAGCCUGAUGCAGCGACGCCGCGUGGGGGAUGACGGCCUUCGGGUUGUAAACUACUUUCGCUAGGGAAGAAGCGUUUUGUGACGGUACCUGGAGAAGAAGCAUCGGCUAACUACGUG